rnacentral:lncRNA from 1 species
CUUAUUCUCACAGCAGCUUUUUUUCAAAGCACAGCAAUACCAAACCAGCCCUUAGUAGCAUCAAAGCCUUCCUUAGUUCAUCCCUCUCAUCUUUUCACAUGUCACUCUUGGUGUGGAGACUUAGAGGCACCAUCCUUUUGGUGCUUGGAGAAUCCUUUCAUCAAAUCCUCAAGAAGCAAAGGAGCAAGGAAGCAAAGUUCCAAGGAUUCAAGGAGCCAAAUCCAUGGAGCUUAUGAAGAGGAAUGAAGGCCAUCACAUGGGUGAUAACCUUAUGAAAAUAGGAAUGAGCUUGAGGGUAUGAAAAAUCAAUCUUUCUUCUUCUUUUUAUGGAAAGAGUCUUUGUCACCAUCCACUAGGCCUUGAAUUUUAUAGGACUUAGAUUUAUUUUCAGUUCAUGCUUUACUUUAAUUGUUAAUAUAUGCAUGUAUUGCUCAAAUAAUCUCUACAUAGACAAUAUUUUUCCUUCACUACAUCAUUUAGAAAGAUGGAAGGAUUCAAAAUCUUCAUUUUCCCACCGAUGCACUGUUUUUAUGGGAAUGCAACUUCGUUUUGGUCGUUGCGUGAAGAACCGGAAGGAUUGAUAUGUAGAAAAAUCUUAACACUUAAUACAACGUUCUUCAGCAUCUUAGCUUUCUUUUCCAACUGUUCGUGCAUUGACGUUCAUCAGGAAGUUAACUUUUCAUUAAAAAUCAUUUGAGUGCGCAUAAUGGGUUCUAGGGCAUGAACACUUUCCCCUUAAGCUUUGCGAGCACUUGUCCCAACAAGAGUAUUGAUGAACCUGGACUGAGCAUUUUAGUCAGAGGUUGUUUGUGCAGAAGUAUGGGAUCUGUAAGGGCUUCUUAUUAAAUUCCCUGCAUAAGAAGGUCCUCUUGAAGAAAACAUAAAUAUUUAGUUGAAUAACUAAAUAACUUGCUCAUCUGGGCAUUGGACCCAAGCCUCAGACUUCAUAAACCAUACUACAAAAAACAAAAAUUAUUUAUGGCAAAAGAUAGGAAUUAAACACUUAACUCUAAUUGUGGCAGAACGCUAACGGGAAUAGAGAGCCUUUGCUUCGUUCCUUAGAGCAAUAAUCAAAGUUCUUUUGGAUUUUUUGACUUUCGUCGUUGCCCAUGGUAGAGGUCGUUGGUUGGGGGAAUAUGAGUUCACUUUCAAUAAAGCAUCAACUGUUAGAACCAAAAUCGCGCACAACCACAUAUAGAUGCACAAUUUAGUUGAAAUUACCCAUGAACUCCGUCGAUGUGAGAAUAAUGUCGAUUAAGGGGUGUGGUUGAAUCCAGAUCGGACUGCCUACAUAUCUCUGGGAAUGAAGAAUCAAAUCACUAGUGUAGCUCUAGAAAAUGAGUGGUGUGAUGUGUGUUGCA